GACGAACGCUGGCGGCGUGCUUAACACAUGCAAGUCGAACGGGAAGGCCCUGCUUUUGUGGUAUUCUCGAGUCGAAAACGUGUGUGAAACAUGUGUGUACUGUCCUCCUCUCUUUGGUAUAACUUCAGGAAACUGGGUCUUAUACCAUAUAGGCGCUCCUGCUUCUUGUGGGUGGUAAGAUUGUUUCGUCGGUUUGGGAUGGGCUCGCGGCUUAUCAGCUUGUUGGUGGGGUAGUGGCCUACCAAGGCUCGGACGGGUAGCCGGCCUGAGAGGGUGACCGGCCACAUUGGGACUGAGAUACGGCCCAGACUCCUACGGGAGGCAGCAGUGGGGAAUAUUGCACAAUGGGCGGAAGCCUGAUGCAGCGACGCCGCGUGCGGGAUGACGGCCUUCGGGUUGUAAACCGCUUUCGCCAGGGACGAAGCUUGAGGGACGGGUAUCGAGAUAGAAGGCACGGCUAACUUCGGG
rnacentral:rRNA from 1 species